rnacentral:lncRNA from 1 species
GGUCUCUGAGGGUCACAAUCACUCUAAUUAGUUGUGAGUGUAAUAAGUUUAAUAUAGCUUGCUGUCACUCAAAAAUAUUGAAUUGUCAUAACUAUUUUUAACCAGUGAAGGUUUUAUAAAUCUACUUAGUAUGCACUAGCUAGGUCUCUUCAAGAAAAAGAAGUUUAUAAAGGAUCAAAUGUCAAGCUAUGUCUUUGAUUGUAUUAUGAAUCAUAACUGGCAGUUCCCAAGUAUUGCUUGUUUGUUAAUUUUUUGAUAGGCAUCUGGUGAAUAUACAGUUUUAUUUAUUCAAAACAUUUGAGUGGCUGUUCGUUCCUUAUUGCUAAUGGCAUACAUAAC